CCCUUAGAUGUUCGGGGCCGCACGCGCGCUACACUGAAAGAAUCAGCUGGUAAGUUGCUCCUGGCUUGGAAACGUCGGGCAACCCGUUGAACCUCCUUCGUGCUUGGGAUUGGGGCUUGCAAUUAUUCCCCAUGAACGAGGAAUUCCCAGUAGGCGCGAGUCAUCAGCUCGCGUCGAUUACGUCCCUGCCCUUUGUACACACCGCCCGUCGCUCCUACCGAUUGAAUGUUCCGGUGAGCUCUUCGGACUGCGCGGUCUGCAGUUUCUGCGUUCCGUGCGGAAAGUUGCGCAAACCUUAACAUUUAGAGGAAGGAGAAGUCGUAACA
rnacentral:rRNA from 1 species